GAUGAACGCUGGCGGCGUGCCUAAUACAUGCAAGUCGAGCGAACAGACGCGGAGCUUGCUCCUCUGACGUUAGCCGCGGACGUGUGAGUAACACGUGGAUAACCUACCUAUAAGACUGGGAUAACUUCGGGAAACCGGAGCUAAUACCGGAUAAUAUAUUGAACCGCAUGGUUCAAUAGUGAAAGACGGUUUUGCUGUCACUUAUCGAUGGAUCCGCGCCGCAUUAGCUAGUUGUUAAGGUAACGGCUUACCAAGGCGACGAUGCGUAGCCGGCCUGAGAGGGUGAUCGGCCACCCUGGAACUGAGACACGGUCCAGACUCCUAAGGGAGGCAGCAGUAGGGAAUCUUACGCAAUGGGCGAAAGCCUGACGGAGCGACGCCGCGUGAGUGAUGAAGGUCUUCGGAUCGUAAAACUCUGUUAUUAGGGAAGAACAAAUGUGUAAGUAACUAUGCACGUCUUGACGGUAACUAAUCAGAAAGCCACGGCUAACUACGUG
rnacentral:rRNA from 1 species